rnacentral:rRNA from 1 species
CCCCUAGAUGUUCUGGGCCGCACGCGCGCUACACUGAACAGUUCAACAAGUCUUAACCUUGGCCGAUAGGUCUGGGUAAUCUUUGAACGCUGUUCGUGAUUGGGAUAGACCUUUGCAAUUAUGGGUCUUCAACGAGGAAUUCCUAGUAAACGCAAGUCAUCAGCUUGCAUUGAUUACGUCCCUGCCCUUUGUACACACCGCCCGUCGCACCUACCGAUUGAAUGGUCCGAUGAAAUCUCGGGACGGCGGCUUGGUCGCUUGCGUCCGACUGCUGAAACUUGAUUAAACCAUAUCAUUUAGAGGAAGGUGAAGUCGUAACA